UACGGAGGGGACUAGCGUUGUUCGGAAUUACUGGGCGUAAAGCGCACGUAGGCGGAUCGAUCAGUCAGGGGUGAAAUCCCAGAGCUCAACUCUGGAACUGCCUUUGAUACUGUCGAUCUGGAGUAUGGAAGAGGUGAGUGGAAUUCCGAGUGUAGAGGUGAAAUUCGUAGAUAUUCGGAGGAACACCAGUGGCGAAGGCGGCUCACUGGUCCAUUACUGACGCUGAGGUGCGAAAGCGUGGGGAGCAAACAGG
rnacentral:rRNA from 1 species